GCCGAGGUAGCUCAGUUGGUUGGAGCGCCAGACUCAUAAGUAAUUAAAAUUUUAUGAAUUAUAAAAUUUAAUUUUAACCAAUGGCGCUGAGAUAUCUGGAGGUCGUGUGUUCAAGUCACGCCCUCGGCA
rnacentral:tRNA from 1 species